CCUACGGGGGGCAGCAGUGGGGAAUAUUGCACAAUGGGGGAAACCCUGAUGCAGCGACGCCGCGUGAGUGAAGAAGCGUUUCGGCGCGUAAACCUCUUUAGGCGGGGAGCAAUGCCGGGCACGCGUGCCCGGAGGGAGAGUACCCGCAGAAUAAGCAUCGGCUAACUCCGUGCCAGCAGCCGCGGUAAUACGGAGGAUGCGAGCGUUAUCCGGAUUUAUUGGGUUUAAAGGGUGCGUAGGCGGAUUUUUACGUCAGCGGUAAAAUGUCCGGGCUCAACCCGGGCCGGCCGUUGAAACUGGGGAUCUUGAGUGGGCGAGAAGUAUGCGGAAUGCGUGGUGUAGCGGUGAAAUGCAUAGAUAUCACGCAGAACUCCGAUUGCGAAGGCAGCAUACCGGCGCCCGACUGACGCUGAGGCACGAAAGCGUGGGGAUCGAACAGGAUUAGAUACCCUAGUAGUC
rnacentral:rRNA from 1 species